rnacentral:rRNA from 1 species
GACGAACGCUGGCGGCGUGCUUAACACAUGCAAGUCGAGCGGUAAGGCCCUUUCGGGGGUACACGAGCGGCGAACGGGUGAGUAACACGUGGGUGACCUGCCCUCAGCUCUGGGAUAAGCCUGGGAAACUGGGUCUAAUACCGGAUAUGACUCCAUGACGCAUGUUGUGGGGUGGAAAGCCUUGUGCGGCUGAGGAUGGGCCCGCGGCCUAUCAGCUUGUUGGUGGGGUGANGGCCUACCAAGGCGACGACGGGUAGCCGGCCCGAGAGGGCGACCGGCCACACUGGGACUGAGACACGGCCCAGACUCCUACGGGAGGCAGCAGUGGGGAAUCUUGCGCAAUGGGCGAAAGCCUGACGCAGCGACGCCGCGUGAGGGAUGACGGCCUGGUU